UACGGAAGGCAGCAGUGGGGAAUAUUGCACAAUGGGCGAAAGCCUGAUGCAGCUAUGCCGCGUGUAUGAAGAAGGCCUUAGGGUUGUAAAGUACUUUCAUCGGGGAGGAAAAAACAAAACUAAUAAUUUUAUUUCUUGACGUUACCCGAAAAAGAAGCACCGGCUAACUCCGUGCCAGCAGCCGCGGUAAUACGGAGGGUGCUAGCGUUAAUCAGAAUUACUGGGCGUAAAGAGCACGUAGGUGGUUUUUUUAAGUCAGAUGUGAAAUCCCUGGGCUUAACCUAGGAACUGCAUUUUGAAACUGAAAUACUAGAGUAUCGUAGAGGGAGGUAGAAUUCUAGGUGUAGCGGUGAAAUGCGUAGAUAUCUGGAGGAAUACCUGUGGCGAAAGCGGCCUCCUAAACGAAUACUGACACUGAGGGUGCGAAAGCGUGGGGAGCAAAACAGGGAUUAGAUACC
rnacentral:rRNA from 1 species